ACGGAGGUAAACAAAAGGCCACAUUCGGGGAAAGUGGAGACUUGCAAGAUUCUCGAAGGCCCCUCCCUUCCCAGCUUUCCAGAAGGAACAGGCAGCUGCAGAGGGGCGAUAUCUCGGAUCUGUCAGCUGCCUGCAGGCUGUGCAGGAGAGCUCCAGGGUUGCAGCUUUUGUGAGUCGUCACCCUGUUGGGGUUUUUGGCGAUGCAGCUGUUUUUGAGUCACACCUGCUCGGACUGUGUGCUAAUCUGCAGAGUGAGAGCCUGCCCACUGCUGCCAACACUGAGACCACAUGGAAGAAAAGAGCUCUUUAGUGCCCAGGCGUGGCCUCCUGGUGGCUUCCAGCAUGUCGGUUCUGUCUUCUGGGCUCAGGUAUGAACAGCGUUGUGAGGAACCUCCUGGACCGGCCCACUAAGCUCUGCUAUGAGCCAAGAAGCAAAGGAAAGGUGGGGAGCCUGCUACCUACCAGGAGAGCCGUCCCUUCGUGGCUUCCUUCGAUGUUCCCUGGGACCUCUGGAAUGAUGGUCCUCAUCGCUGCUGUCUGUGGGAAGCAAAUACAAGCUGUAGGGCCUCAGGCUGGAAGGAGCCAGGACCACAGUCACGGAGAAAGGGACUUUGCCUGGCUCCAGGUUAGGACAGUGGGGGCGGGGUUUGAGACAGGGCUUCUCUGUGUAGUUUUGGUGCCUGUCCUGGAUUUCACUCUGUAGACCAGGCUGGCCUCAAACUCAGAGAUCCGCCUGGCUCUGCCUCCCAAGUGCUGGGAUUAAAGAAGUGCGCCUCCACCACCCAGCAACUCCUAACUUUUUGUGUCACUGUCCUCUUUGUAUUUUCUGACUGAGCCUUACUUCUGCUGAUGCCUGGGGAGGCUUUCCUGAAGAGGCAACCAAGUUUUAUGACGCACCAUCUUACGGAGAGUCCACCAAGCACGAUGCUGUAUCAUCUCUGUCCUCGUGGUGUCACAGGACUCUGGGUGUCUGCUGCUUUGUGUCUACCGGCCUGGAACUCUUUCCCACUUGUCUCCUUGAUUGUGAAGUUAAACUGAAGUCACACGUCCUAUGGGAACCCUGUCAUGCUGCUCAGACCCUCACCUUAUCCUCCUCACUGGGGGUUUCCAGGGCACUAACUGUCUUGAGUCAGUCACCAGGAGGACUGGAUGAUGCCUGUCUCUCUAACCACCUGAGCUCCUGAAGGUCACAGCCUGCCUCUUCCGUUGCCUCAGGCUGCCUAGCCUGGAGCAGGACCCUGAAGGGACGGACAGCAUGGCUGAGUUGUGUACAUCUUAGACUAGUCAAUGGUCUAAGAAUUCAGAGCCAGGAGCUCUGGGCUACAGGGCUUUCUCCCAGGACUACCCAGAUGGCCCCAGAUGAGUUCCCUCAGUGUGUAUAGGGACUUCCCAUCCAUUGUGGAUUCAUUAAAACUCCAGGACGUCAAUUAGCUGUGCUUCCAAGUCAGUGUUCAUGUCAUUUAAACUGACACAGAUGUCUGGUCAUACGGUUGUCCCUUGGUACCCAUGGGAGAAGGUUCUAAGACUUGCCACACACAUCAAAAUCAACAGACACGCCAGUCCCUUAUACACAACAGUGUAGUAUUUGCAUAGAAACUGUACGUGUCCUCUUGUAUUAUUUUUUUUAACUUAAAAAAAUAUUUGCGUGUGGUCGGGGAAGCAUACGCCACAGCGCAUGUGUGGAAGUUCAGAGUACAACUUUCAGGAGUUGCUUUCCUCCUUGGACCGUGUGGGUCACGUGCGUCCUGGGGAUUGAACUCAGGUGGUCAGCGUGGCAGCGAGCACGUUACCCACUGGGCCAUCCUGCUGACCCCUCCCUAUUAUCUAAACCACUGCUAGAUUACUUGUAAUACUUACUACAGUGUAAAUGCUACUCAUUCAUACUUGGUGGUGUUUAGUAAUGUGACAAUAAAGCAGCCAUCUGUGUUCA